GCGGCGCCCCCUGCCGGCCGCGGAGGGCGCGCCUUGGAGGGAGAGGACUUUAGGUGACGCCGCCAGGAGGCGAAAUUUCACCUGCCAGCAGCUCUGGAGGUCAAAAGAAAUGAGACUGCUGGGCUAAGAUCAAGGUGUCAGCAGGGCUGUAUUCCUUCCCAAGGCUCCAGGGGAGAAUCUGUUCACUUGCCUUUCCCAGCUUCUAGAGGUUGCCUACAUUCCUUGGCUUGCGGACCCUUCCUCCAUCUCCAGAAUCAGUAACGAAAGAUCCAAAGCCAUAUCCUGGCUGAGUUGGCUGAGUUGAGCAGGACACUGACAAGGAGGCUGCUGAGCCUGCAACUCGACUGUUCUGUUUGAGGAGCUCUGUGCUUUAUCAUAGAAAUGGAUCUGAGAUGUGGUCUCCCUAUGCUGCCCAGGCUCAUCUCAAACUCCUGGGCUCAAGCAUUCCUCCCACCUUGGCCUCCUAAAGUGCUGGGAUCAUAGGCGUGAACCACUGUGCCUGGCCUCAUGAUAUAACUUCUUAAUGUUAGUUUUUCCUUAAAGAGGGACUGCUUGC
ensembl:lncRNA CENPN-AS1 CENPN antisense RNA 1